AGAGUUUGAUCCUGGCUCAGGAUGAACGCUAGCGGCAGGCUUAAUACAUGCAAGUCGAACGGGAUUCGGGGUAGCAAUACUUUGAUGAGAGUGGCGCACGGGUGCGUAACGCGUAUGCAACCUACCUUUAACAGGGGAAUAGCCCCGAGAAAUCGGGAUUAAUACUCCGUAACAUUGCGGUGUGGCAUCACACUGCACUUAAAGCUGAGGCGGUUAAAGAUGGGCAUGCGUGACAUUAGCUAGUUGGUGAGGUAACGGCUCACCAAGGCAACGAUGUCUAGGGGUCCUGAGAGGGUUAUCCCCCACACUGGUACUGAGACACGGACCAGACUCCUACGGGAGGCAGCAGUAAGGAAUAUUGGUCAAUGGGCGCAAGCCUGAACCAGCCAUGCCGCGUGCAGGAAGACGGCCCUUGGGUUGUAAACUGCUUUUGUCAGGGAAUAAACCCCCGCUCGUGAGCGGGGCUGAAGGUACCUGAAGAAUAAGCAUCGGCUAACUCCGUGCCAGCAGCCGCGGUAAUACGGAGGAUGCAAGCGUUAUCCGGAUUCAUUGGGUUUAAAGGGUGCGCAGGCGGAUUGGUAAGUCAGGGGUGAAAUCCCACAGCUCAACUGUGGAACUGCCUUUGAUACUGUCAGUCUAGAGUAUAGUUGAAGUUGGCGGAAUGUGUCAUGUAGCGGUGAAAUGCUUAGAUAUGACACAGAACACCGAUCGCGAAGGCAGCUAGCUAAGCUAUAACUGACGCUCAUGCACGAAAGCGUGGGGAUCAAACAGGAUUAGAUACCCUGGUAGUCCACGCUGUAAACGAUGAUUACUCGAUGUUGGCGAUACACAGUCAGCGUCUGAGCGAAAGCAAUAAGUAAUCCACCUGGGGAGUACGAUCGCAAGAUUGAAACUCAAGGAAUUGACGGGGGCCCGCACAAGCGGAGAGCAUGUGGUUUAAUUCAUGAUACCNCGAGGAACCUUACCUG
rnacentral:rRNA from 1 species